rnacentral:rRNA from 1 species
CAGUCGCCGCGGGGAAUACGAAGGGGGCUAGCGUUGUUCGGAUUUACUGGGCGUAAAGCGCACGUAGGCGGACUUUUAAGUCAGGGGUGAAAUCCCGGGGCUCAACCCCGGAACUGCCUUUGAUACUGGAAGUCUUGAGUAUGGUAGAGGUGAGUGGAAUUCCGAGUGUAGAGGUGAAAUUCGUAGAUAUUCGGAGGAACACCAGUGGCGAAGGCGGCUCACUGGACCAUUACUGACGCUGAGGUGCGAAAGCGUGGGGAGCAAACAGGAUUAGAUACCCGAGUAGUCCCUGUCUCUUAUU